UGGUACUAGCUAGGUAGCUAACUUGAUCCAGCCACUCCUGGUCUUUUCAUCAGACGGGAAGCGAAUGGGCUUCCGGUUGGUGCGCCUCCGUGUACACACGUAUGUGGAAACGAGGCGUAACAGUCUUAAACAGCGGCACAAGCCGUUAGUCCGUUGUUAUUUAACACUGGCUAUCAGCUGUUAUCAAUCCUUAGGCUAAACAUGUUGUGAUAUCAGGCAAAAACCCAAGUUAGUUCAAAGUGAAAAAUACGCCGGUAUAAAACAGUAGAUGCAACAGUGUUAUUGAUUAGAGAACCUACUGCGGUGGCUAUCGCUAUCCAGAAACCCUUUUCGGCACUUUGUUUCCAAAUCCUACAUUUAAACUGAACAAUAAUAUGAAUUUUUUGGGAAUAUGGAUCCGGGGGCGUUGCUUGUGUGAAAGUCAGAGAGUGAAUUAUUACUUCCAGCGGCUGCUCCCGUGAGUAAACGGUACGCUAAAACGCUGCUGUGACACGAGCGGCGUACCACUGCCAUUUUCGGCAAAUGCUGCUAAAACUGUGGCUAAAAGUUUACUACGUCAAUCUGGAUAACAGUAAUAAGCCAUAAACUUUGUGUAUAAAAGUGCAUAGGUGGUUCUUCAAUUCAAUUUGGCUUCGUAAGUGUAGGAGCAACAUUAAGUACGGUUCCGUCAGCUCCUAGUAGGCUGCCAUUGUUGAUGAUAUGUACAAUAUACGUAGCGGCUUAAACGGCGACGUCAUGACGUAGCUCCUACAGGGCUCUUGUCAGUGGAAAAGCAAACAGGUUCAAAGUUACGAACCAAUUGCGAACCGUUCUAGCACCAGCACGGAGAUAGAACCAGUGUUAAUUUUGGCAGCUGGUUUUUGGUGUGAAAGGGGCACAUGUUCCUCUGAGACUUUUCUUAUUUUGGAUUUAUCCCUGUUUAACACACUGAGAAUAGGAUUAGGAACAUUAUUUAAACUUGCAAGACUGCUGGAGUCCCUCAAGUUGGAGUCAUUAUUUCAAGAUUAAACAUCGUUUUAAAAUGUCUAAAUACUGUCAAGAUUUUCAUGAAGAGCGACUUCCUCCUCGUGUGGCAUUUUUGAAUUAUUUCAAGUUUUACAACGGACCAUGUGGAUCUUAGUAUUGUACUCUCGUAUUGACGUUGAACGGAUCAUUGGAACACUCUACUGCCGGAACAGGCGGAUGCAGCAGCGACAGGACGAGAUGUAAAACGGGAGAGAACCGGAGACCAUUAACCAAUUGUAUUGAAGGCCCUCUAAUGCAAAGCGGUCCAACAGGAGGGCUGAACUAAUGGAGCAUUCAGAAGAAGAAGUCGACCUUCCGACCUCCACCAAGAGACGCUCGCAGCAACCUGAGACAGCAGGUGUAAAAGGAUGUCGCAGGCCUCUGAUGAAACAGCAGCAGUCUGGCGCCACCUCGGAAGAGAGGAGUGGGAGGAGAGGAGCUGAACCAUGGAGAUUCCACAGUGGAAAAAGGAUGCAGUCCCUUGACCACACAUUUGGUCACAGCCCUGUGUAAUUAAUCCGCCCUGUGUUUAGUCAAAUUGGCCUUCUUUGCCAAGGUGAAUGGGGUCCUUGUUGUAGCUGGAGAGUAGGUUCAAACCCCACUGCAGUCAGCAUGUCGUUGUGUCCCUGAGACACUUC